GGAGGGUGAUCCCGCGGUCGGGAAAAGCGUCUGAUAACCGCUUGUCCGUUUUUGGCGGACAGGGUUCGAUUCCCUCGCCCUCCGCCA
rnacentral:tRNA from 1 species